GCACAAGCGGUGGAGCAUGUGGUUUAAUUCGACGCAACGCGCAGAACCUUACCAGCCCUUGACAUCCCGGUCGCGGACUCCAGAGACGGAGUUCUUCAGUUCGGCUGGACCGGAGACAGGUGCUGCAUGGCUGUCGUCAGCUCGUGCCGUGAGAUGUUGGGUUAAGUCCCGCAACGAGCGCAACCCCCGUCCUUAGUUGCUACCAUUUAGUUGAGCACUCUAAGGAGACUGCCGGUGAUAAGCCGCGAGGAAGGUGGGGAUGACGUCAAGUCCUCAUGGCCCUUACAAGGUGGGCUACACACGUGCUACAAUGGCGACUACAGAGGGCUGCAAACCCGCGAGGGGGAGCCAAUCCCUAAAAGUCGUCUCAGUUCGGAUUGCACUCUGCAACUCGAGUGCAUGAAGUUGGAAUCGCUAGUAAUCGCGGAUCAGCAUGCCGCGGUGAAUACGUUCCCGGGC
rnacentral:rRNA from 1 species